AGGCAACCACCUUUUGUUUAUCACUCAAAAGGUAGGUGUUGUUCUGUUCGUAAAUCAAUAUCUUUUGCUCUUCAGACUUGUUGAGUUUACUUCAAUGAAGCUGGUCUAGUAAGCAUAAGUACAUA